ACACGUGAGCAACCUGCCUUUCAGUGGGGGACAACAUUUGGAAACGAAUGCUAAUACCGCAUAAGACCACAGUGUCGCAUGGCACAGGGGUCAAAGGAUUUAUCCGCUGAAAGAUGGGCUCGCGUCCGAUUAGCUAGAUGGUGAGGUAACGGCCCACCAUGGCGACGAUCGGUAGCCGGACUGAGAGGUUGAACGGCCACAUUGGGACUGAGACACGGCCCAGACUCCUACGGGAGACAGCAUG
rnacentral:rRNA from 1 species